rnacentral:rRNA from 1 species
UACAGAGGGGGCAAGCGUUGUUCGGAAUUACUGGGCGUAAAGGGCGCGUAGGCGGCCCGCUAAGUCGAACGUGAAAUCCCCGGGCUCAACCCGGGAACUGCGUCCGAUACUGGUGGGCUCGAAUCCGGGAGAGGGAUGCGGAAUUCCAGGUGUAGCGGUGAAAUGCGUAGAUAUCUGGAGGAACACCGGUGGCGAAGGCGG